GAUGAACGCUGGCGGCGUGCCUAAUACAUGCAAGUCGAGCGAACAGAUGAGGAGCUUGCUCCUCUGACGUUAGCGGCGGACGGGUGAGUAACACGUGGAUAACCUACCUAUAAGACUGGGAUAACUUCGGGAAACCGGAGCUAAUACCGGAUAAUAUAUUGAACCGCAUGGUUCAAUAGUGAAAGACGGUUUUGCUGUCACUUAUAGAUGGAUCCGCGCCGCAUUAGCUAGUUGGUAAGGUAACGGCUUACCAAGGCAACGAUGCGUAGCCGACCUGAGAGGGUGAUCGGCCACACUGGAACUGAGACACGGUCCAGACUCCUACGGGAGGCAGCAAUAGGGAAUCUUCCGCAAUGGGCGAAAGCCUGACGGAGCAACGCCGCGUGAGUGAUGAAGGUCUUCGGAUCGUAAAACUCUGUUAUUAGGGAAGAACAAAUGUGUAAGUAACUAUGCACGUCUUGACGGUACCUAAUCAGAAGGCCACGGCUAACUACGUG
rnacentral:rRNA from 1 species